CAGGCUAGAGCUUGGUAUUAAAGCGUUUUAUUUACAUUAAAAAGUUAUUUGUGGAACUCAAUUUAGCUUGA
rnacentral:tRNA from 1 species